rnacentral:rRNA from 1 species
UUUAAAUGGCCGCAGUAUACUAACUGUGCAAAGGUAGCAUAAUCAUUAGUUUUUUAAUUGAAAGCUGGUAUGAAUGGUUGGACGAAAUAUUAACUGUUUCAUAAAAAUUUAUAUUAAAAUUUUAUUUUUUAGUUAAAAAGCUAAAAUAAAUUUAAAAGACGAGAAGACCCUAUAAAUCUUUAUAUUUAAAUUAUUAAAAUUUAUAAGAUUUUUUUUUUGUUUUAAUAAUCUAUAAUAUUUUAUUGGGGUGAUAAUAAAAUUUAAUAAACUUUUAAAAAUAAUUACAUUAAUUUAUGUUUUUUUGAUCCAUUAUUAAUGAUUAAAAAUUUAAGUUACUUUAGGGAUAACAGCGUAAUUUUUUUGGGGAGUUCAUAUUUAUAAAAAAGAUUGCGACCUCGAUGUUGGAUUAAGAUAUAAUUUUAGGUGUAGCAGC